CUGGGAAACGAUGCGAUCUCCCUUGCAAGAGGAAUAAGUCGAGUCAUACCGCAGUAAUGUCGUCAGAAGCUAAACAAUAACAACACCUCAGCGACAGUUAAAUAUUAAUGGCUGUUGAUGAGAAUAAGUCACUGAGUUUUACUGCUUAAACUCAUGUGCUUCAGUGUUUUACCGUGUAAUGGUGUCUUACCAGAGGGAUCGGAGCUUCUCACAGUGAGCUCGUAUGUCAGGUCUGUGAAGAGAAAGGAGGGUUACUCACAUGUCUGCGCCGUGUGCACAUUUCACCCGCACACGCUAACUCGUCCAACAGCAGCGGAUGUGUGGUGGGAAACACAUCGUCCACUUCUAUAUGAUAUCGCCUAAGAAGGUGAAGAAGGUGCUGGAUUUCUACCGGAACAUGGCGAGAAGAAUUGCAGAAAACAAUCUUCCAGUUGGAAACACUCCCUGCACCAAAGUCCACGGAGAAAAUCAGCGAUUUUACGUAAAGGGGUUUGUUAAUCCACUGCUGCCUCCACAAGUAAGUUUAACCGCGUUAUCUUGUCACGUUGAUGUUUCUGAAUAUUUGUUGAGAUUUACCUCAGUGCCACAUACUUACCAAGACGAGCACGAGUGCAGCAGGAGCAGCUUCUGUGUCGCUGUGCGGUAAAAACACAAGAGUUACUCUAUGAACUCUGGUGUGGGAGAAUGAAAGGUUUCAGUGAGUCCUUUCAUGUCCACUGUGAGUCAAACUGCUUUGAUCAAAGUAAAAAAAAAUAAAGAAAAUACAAUAGAUAAUUGAUGGAAUUGACUGGGUGGACACCAGAGGGCAAUGUUGCUCUUUAAUUACAGUGAAGGCCCUUCAUCAUCAUCACCAUCAUCAUAGUGGGGGAAACUCCUCCCAUGCUGCGAUCACACAUCAGUCCUAACGUCAAGAUGAAAAAUUAAAUAAUUAAUGAAUUAAUUAAAUAAAAUGUCCAAAAGUCAUUAAAAAGCCCUAAAUAUCACAGUCCUACAGUCACACAUAUCAUGUCCAAUAAUUGAG